CAGUAGCCGCGGGAAUACGAAGGGGGCUAGCGUUGUUCGGAAUUACUGGGCGUAAAGCGCACGUAGGCGGAUACUUAAGUCAGGGGUGAAAUCCCGGGGCUCAACCCCGGAACUGCCUUUGAUACUGGGUAUCUCGAGUCCGGAAGAGGUGAGUGGAAUUCCGAGUGUAGAGGUGAAAUUCGUAGAUAUUCGGAGGAACACCAGUGGCGAAGGCGGCUCACUGGUCCGGUACUGACGCUGAGGUGCGAAAGCGUGGGGAGCAAACAGGAUUAGAUACCCGCGUAGUCCCUGUCUCUUAUAA
rnacentral:rRNA from 1 species